AAGUACUGCUGCUGCUUAAGUCACUUCAGUCGUGUCCAACUUAUAGACGGCAGCCCACCAGGCUCCUCUGUCCCUAGGAUUCUCCGGGCAAGAAUACUGGAGUGGGUUGCCAUUUCCUUCUCCAAUUCAUGAAAGUGAAAAGUGAAAGUGAAGUUGCUCAGUCGUGCCCGACUUAGCGACUCCAUGGACUGCAGCCUACCAGGCUCCUCCAUCCAUGGGAUUUUCCAGCCAAGAGUACUGGAGUGGGGUGCCAUUGCUUUCUCCGAAAGAAACUGGAAUGGAGAACAAUGCCAGCAAUUUUAUAGACAUUUUGACAGAAGCUUUUGAAGACUAAAAGGAAGAUAACAUAUACUUGACACUGGACAUCACCAAAUGGUGUCAUUUCUGAGGAAUGUCUACUUUGACUAGUGAGAAGAGCUAACGUCAAACAGAGUCAACAGAAGAUUGAUCCAAAAUGGAAUUCCACUUUCUUUCAAACUGACCACUAGAGGGCACUCAACACAGACUGAAAAAGCAGGCGGAGCGGACUCCUGACAUCCUUUGAGAAAUCUGUGUAUUUACCUGUUUGUUGCCAGUAUUCUGUGUCUAUUUCCCUGAGUCUUAAUUUUGAGAGUCUAUAUUGCUUGGUACUCAAUCUAAAGUCUUUUUAGGUUGAAAUGGAGCAAAAGUAACAGGAAGAAAACCUAUUCAGCUGUAUCACUUGC
ensembl:lncRNA